AGCAGCCGCGGUAAUUCCAGCUCCAAUAGCGUAUAUUAAAGUUGUUGCAGUUAAAAAGCUCGUAGUUGAAUUUCGGGACCAAUCUGCCGGUCGUGCCUCCGGUAUGCACUGGUUUUAUUGGUUUCUCCCUUCUGACGAAUCAUGAUGUCAUUAAUUUGGUGUCAUGGGGAAUCAGGACUGUUACUUUGAAAAAAUUAGAGUGUUUAAAGCAGGCUCACGCUUGAAUACAUUAGCAUGGAAUAAUGAAAUAGGACGUUUGACCCUAUUUUGUUGGUUUCUAGGAUCGACGUAAUGAUUAAUAGGGAUAGUUGGGGGCAUUAGUAUUCAAUUGUCAGAGGUGAAAUUCUUGGAUUUAUUGAAGACUAACUACUGCGAAAGCAUUUGCCAAGGAUGUUUUCAUUAAUCAAGAACAAAAGUUAGGGGAUCGAAGACGAUCAGAUACCGUCGUAGUCUUAACCAUAAACUAUGCCAACUAGGGAUCGGAUGAUGUUAUUUUUUUAAUGACUCAUUCGGCACCUUA
rnacentral:rRNA from 1 species